rnacentral:lncRNA from 1 species
UACAUAAGUAUUCAGACCCCUUGACUUUUUAAUUGUGUGUAGAUUGAUGAGGGGGGAAAAAAACAAUUUAAUCCAUUUUAGAAUAAGGCUGUAAUGUAACAAAAUGUGGAAAAAGUGAAGGGGUCUGAAUACUUUUCGAACGCACUGUACAUUCCGUACUGAUCAUUUGACUUGCCUUUUUCCAACUUGAAAUAGUUUUUUGUCUUUCUUUCCCACAGACUGCCAUUGCCAACAGUGGAGGGGACAAGGCAAUGGAAUUUGAUAAGAAUGAGGUGGUAACAAUGAACAACAGUUCAAUCACCCUCUAUAAAUGCCAAAAUCUGACAAUGAACUUCAUUUACAUUGAUGCUACACAGCAGAAGGCUGGAACUGAGUCUAAUGGUAAACAACCCCCAGUUAAGGAGAGAUGUUCCCAUUACAUUGUCACAGGUAGACAGUUGACAUUCCUCUUUUCCAUCAAUUUCAAGUAUCUUUCAAGGACACGUAGAGAAAAGCACUAAAUCAUAUUCAUUCAUUUUGAAUACUGUACACCUUUUAACCUCUGUCUGGCCUUUGUAGAGAUGAGGAAUGAGGUUGUGACAACUGCACCUUUGAAUUCAACUAUCAUCAAAGGUGAGUACUGAGAUGGCUAAUAUUCAUGAUGAACAUUGAGAGACCAAUGUCAAUCCCUUGAGAAUUUGUUUUUUUAUGUUUUAUUUUCUGGAAGCCUGUCUGGAAAAUAAAUUAGGGGAAAGACUACAAGACACAUUACUCUGUGUUGUUCAGUAUUUUGAUUGAUUAUGUCAUGGAAAUGACUUUAUUCUCUCUAAUCAUCCAUUAUAGAUGGAGACAAUCCUGAUUCAAACCAUAGUGACACUGAUUUGAUCUGGCAAAUCAUUGGUGAGUGUUUAAGCAAAUCUAUCACCACAGCUUCCUCUGUAUGAGAAAAUAACAAGUAAAUCUGACCUCAAAAUGGUGCUACCAAGAUCAACUACUGUUAGAAGGUUAUUUUAAAACCUUUUCAUUUGUGUGAAUAUGUCAUCAUCUGAUGACUACAUUCUGUUUUUCAGUUGGUAUUGUUGUUGCUGUCGUGCUGGUCAUUGCUGUUCUGCUCUGUGUGUUUAAAGCUUGGAGAGACAAACAGUGGUGAGUAUCCUAUAUAACGGUUUUUGUGUUUGUGAAGGGAGCUCUUUAAGUCAAUUAGAAUUGUUG